rnacentral:rRNA from 1 species
UACGAAGGGGGCUAGCGUUGUUCGGAAUCACUGGGCGUAAAGCGCACGUAGGCGGAUCGGUAAGUCAGAGGUGAAAGCCCGGGGCCCAACCCCGGAAUUGCCUUUGAAACUACCAAUCUAGAGACUCGGAGGGGACAGUGGAAUUCCUAAUGUAGGGGUGAAAUCCGUAAAUAUUAGGAGGAACACCAGCGGCGAAGGCGGCUGUCUGGAUGAGUACUGACGCUGAGGUGAGAAAGCGUGGGGAGCAAACAGG